UACGUAGGGUGCAAGCGUUAUCCGGAAUCACUGGGCGUAAAGCGUGCGUAGGCGGGAAUUUAAGUGAGUUGUUAAAUCGUGUGGCUCAACCAUAUCGAUGCAAUUCAUACUGGGUUCCUAGAGGAAGGCAGAGGCAAGUGGAGUUUGUAGUGUAGCAGUGAAAUGCGUAGAUAUUACAAGGAACACCAAUGGCGAAGGCAGCUUGCUGGGCCUUUUCUGACGCUGAGGUACGAAAGCGUGGGGAGCGAACAGG
rnacentral:rRNA from 1 species